rnacentral:rRNA from 1 species
UAGUGAGUUUGAUCCUGGCUCAGAACGAACGCUGGCGGCAGGCUUAACACAUGCAAGUCGAACGGGCGUAGCAAUACGUCAGUGGCAGACGGGUGAGUAACACGUGGGAACGUCCCCCUCGGUUCGGAAUAACUCAGGGAAACUUGAGCUAAUACCGGAUACGUCCGAGAGGAGAAAGAUUUAUCGCCGAGGGAUCGGCCCGCGUCUGAUUAGCUAGUUGGUGAGGUAACGGCUCACCAAGGCGACGAUCAGUAGCUGGUCUGAGAGGAUGAUCAGCCAC